rnacentral:rRNA from 1 species
UACAGAGGUCCCGAGCGUUGUUCGGAUUCAUUGGGCGUAAAGGGUGCGUAGGCGGUUUGGUAAGUCUGAUGUGAAAUCUAUGGGCUCAACUCAUAGUCUGCAUCGGAAACUGCCGGGCUUGAGUGUGGGAGAGGUGAGUGGAAUUCCUGGUGUAGCGGUGAAAUGCGUAGAUAUCAGGAGGAACACCUGUGGCGAAAGCGGCUCACUGGACCAUAACUGACGCUGAUGCACGAAAGCUAGGGGAGCAAACAGG